GUUACAUUUCAAAUACCUUUUUAUGUCCUGGGAAUACAUCAGUGAACAAAAUAGUCAAUAAACCCUGCUGUCAAUGGACUUCACAUUCUAAUGUGGGGAAACAGCCAAUAAAGACAAACAGACAAACAAAUUCCCUAUGUCUGGCAGUUGUAGGUGGUAUGGAGAAAAAUAAGGUGACCAUUGCUCUGAGUAUCAAUCAUCCUGCUCUCAGCCAAUCCUGUCAUUGCCAAAUUGCCUCAUGAACAAAGUGACCACAGCAGCAGUGAUAGAGGUUAUACAUGGGAUCAGAAUAUAGGAUUUCCACUCACCAGGGCACAGCUGGCUACAGCCACUGCUGAGUGCCAAUAUGUCCACAGCAGAAACCAACACUUAGCCCCUGUUAUGGCACCAUUCCCUGGGAUUAGCAGUCAACUCAACAGGUGGAAGAGGCAAUACUUUGUUUUCACUGGAGUAGACAUUUACUCUGGAUAUGGAUUUUCCUUCCCUGUCUACAAUGCUUCUGCCAAAGUAACUCCCCAUGGACUUAUAGAAUGCCAUAUUCACCAUGUUGGUAUAACACACAACAUCAUUUCUGACCAACCAAAUAAUUUCCUAGCCAACGAAGUUUGGCAAUGAGCUCAGGUCCAUGACAUUUAUUGGAUGUACACAUUCCUCAUUAUCUUGAAAGAGCUGGAUGAUAAAACAGAACAAGGAUCUUUUGAAUUCUUACUUAUGGUUGUAUUUUGGUUGUAAACCCUUGUAGAUGUGGGGCAGUUUUCUCCAGGAUGUGAUAUAUGCUCUAAACCAGCAGCUAUACAUGGAGAUGCUUCUCCUGUGGCCAAGAUUCAUGGAUCUGUGAAUCCAAGGGUGGAAAUGAGAAGUACUUCCUUUCACUAUUACCACAAGUGAUCCAUUAGGGAAAACAAAAGAUUCCAUUGCCCUGUGACUUUAGGUUCUACUGGUUGAGAAGUCUUAAAUCCAAAAGGAGAAAUGCUUAUAUCAAUGACAAAAUAAUUAUUUUAUUGAACUGGAAUUUGAGAUGCCAACCUAACCACUUUUAGCUCCUCGUGGCAAUGAAUCAAUGUGCAAAGAAGGAGAUUUCGGCUCUGGCUGGGUAACUGACUCUGACAAUUAAGUGAAUGGUGGGUUGCUACUACAGAACGCAGACUCACAAUAGCAUGUCUGGAACACAGGUGUACCCCCAGGGAGAUCUCUUAAUACACUCAAGUCCUGUGAUUAAAGUCAGUGGAAAAGUUGUAUUGUGUCAGGGGAAGCAUGACUUUAUUACUGUUUUUAUUGGAAAUUAUUGUGUUUAAAGAGAGAUAUAUGGGUACUAAGUGACAAAAGGUGGACUGCAUUGGCUUUGUAAUGUGGUAACUUAGAUAAGCUGAACUGCUUUUCCCAGGAUAUUCUUAGCCUGUAUGUUUGUGAAGAGAGUGGGCCGUAAGAGAUAUCUUUGUAAAAAUUUAGGGGCACAGAAGCAAAGCAGCCGCUCUACUCAUCUUUACGUGCAGAAGCCUACAGCAAGGUCCUUGGGCACUUUUGUAGCUCACACAGGUUGUUUUCUGCAGGCUGAACUUGUACAGGUGGGGCAGCAGCAGGUCUGCAACUAAUAUAAGUUCCCCUGGAGCCUCCUUCAGCUUCUCAGGAUCCUGGGCCAGAUGCGUGUUUAGCUCCAUGAAGAGGGGCAGCAGCUUCUCAUGCAGGACACCAGUCUCAUCACACUCGGGAGCAAUGAGAACUGAAAAGGGUUCCAGUUAAUCCUUGUGGGUUCCAGUUUUUGCACAAGUCCCAGUUUAUCUUUGCUCUUCCUUUUAUCCAUCUAUCCGUCCUUAUGCGUCUUUCUUUCCUAACUGCCUGCACUGCAGUCUUGGAGCUCCAGCAUCAAAUAUGAAAACCAGGGUCCGACAGAGACAAAUAGUAGUUCUGUUUGUUUCAUUGAACUCUGCUGAUAGAAGUGGGACGGUAUGUUUUCAUUGAGGAGAACAGUUUGGUAAACACUGAAGAGGAGAACGAAGGAGUUGGUUUUCCUUUGACUCUCCCAUUAGGAGGUCACCAGGAUAGACUGAAGUUAAGAAAUAGCUAUUAAAGUUAAAAUCAGUAAAAUUACUCACAGUGGCAUAUUUCAAACAGGAAUUCAUUAUUC
rnacentral:lncRNA from 1 species